CCAAUAGCGUAUAUUAAAGUUGUUGCAGUUAAAAAGCUCGUAGUUGAAUUUCGGGGUCAGCAGGUUGGUCGUGCCAUUGGUAUGCACUGGCUUCGCUGAUUCCUCCUUUCUGAAGAACUGUAAUGUCAUUAAUCUGGUGUUGCAGGGAAACAGGACUGUUACUUUGAAAAAAUUAGAGUGUUUAAAGCAAGCUAACGCUUGAAUACAUUAGCAUGGAAUAAUGAAAUAGGGCGUUUGAUCCUAUUUUGUUGGUUUCUAGGAUUGACGUAAUGAUUAAUAGGGAUAGUUGGGGGCAUUAGUAUUCAAUUGUCAGAGGUGAAAUUCUUGGAUUUAUUGAAGACUAACUACUGCGAAAGCAUUUGCCAAGGAUGUUUUCAUUAAUCAAGAACGAAAGUUAGGGGAUCGAAGACGAUCAGAUACCGUCGUAGUCUUAACCAUAAACUAUGCCGACUAGGGAUCGGAUGAUGUUAAUUUUUUAAUGACUCAUUCGGCGCCUUACG
rnacentral:rRNA from 1 species